rnacentral:rRNA from 1 species
UACGGAAGGCAGCAGGGGGAAUAUUGGACAAUGGGCGAAAGCCUGAUCCAGCCAUGCCGCAUGAGUGAAGAAGGCCUUCGGGUUGUAAAGCUCUUUUAGUGAGAAAGAUAAUGACGGUACUCACAGAAGAAGUCCUGGCUAACUCCGUGCCAGCAGCCGCGGUAAUACGGAGAGGGCUAGCGUUAUUCGGAAUUAUUGGGCGUAAAGAGCGCGUAGGCUGAUUAGUAAGUUAAAAGUGAAAUCCCAAAGCUUAACUUUGGAAUUUGCUUUUUAAAACUGCUAGUCUAGAGAUUGAAAGAGGAUAGAGGAAUUCCUAGUGUAGAGGUGAAAUUCGUAAAUAUUAGGAGGAACACCAGUGGCGAAGGCGUCUAUCUGGUUCAAAUCUGACGCUGAGGCGCGAAGGGCGUGGGGAGCAAACGAGGGAUUUAGAUACC